GGAGAAAAACUAUAAGAAAAGGAACCCUCUUCUCUUCCUCACCCUCACCCUCACAGCCGCGGACGCUCUCUGAACAGCCUCCGAGGACGUACAAACGGCUUUACUAACAGUCCUUGUUCCGGCGAUUUCAGGCCUACGGUACCAUCCUGAGUUUGGCGGCGUCUUCUGAUUCACGGCAGCUGCUCUUCCUUCAUGUGAGCUGGAACUUUAGCUUGGAUUGGAGGACCAGGGCCGUUUGCAUCUGUAGUAGUUGGAAGUUCUAUUUGUGGUAGUUAAUUGACUUUGGGAUAAAGCUUUUGAGCAUACAAUUUUAGUCAGUUUCAAGGUCAGGAUAUGAUCCAUGCUUGCUUCCACAUUCUAUAAGCCAUUGAGUUUUGGAGUAGUAACAACUAGAAUAUCCUCGAGUUUUCUGCUAAAAGUUCCGUAUAAUAAUUUUAUCCAGAAGAUCCAAAUGGGAACUAAUCAGAACUCUGUCGUCAGAAGUUGCAGCAGUAACUCUAGAGGAGCCUUGGUGGUUCUAGAAGGGUUGGACCGAUGUGGGAAGACUACACAGUCCGGUAGAUUAGUCCAGUACUUACAAGGACUUGGCCAUUCUGUUGAACUAUGGCGGUUUCCUGAUAGAACAACUAAUGUUGGACAGAUGAUAUCUUCCUAUCUUUCUAACGAAUCACAGCUGGAUGACCACACAAUACAUCUUCUUUUCAGUGCUAACCGAUGGGAGAAGAGAUCCUUAAUGGAAACUAAGUUAAAAGGUGGAACCACUCUUAUUCUUGAUCGGUAUUCUUACUCAGGGGUGGCCUUUUCGUGUGCCAAAGGACUUGGCUUUGAAUGGUGUAAGGCACCGGAGGUUGGCUUGCUAGCUCCAGACCUCGUACUGUACCUAGACAUAUCUCCAGAGACAGCUGCAGAAAGAGGAGGUUAUGGAUGUGAGAGAUACGAGCAGAUUGAGUUCCAGACCAAAGUUGCUAAGUGCUAUCAAGUUUUGGUUGAUUCUAAAUGGGAGAUUAUUGAUGCUUGCCGACCCAUGGAAGAUAUUGAGAAAGAACUACAAGACAUUGUCCUGGACCGUGUCAAGAAAUGCCAAAAUGGGGAACCUCUUUCCCAUCUUUGGCCAAGUUGAUGCAAUCUUCUGAAGACAGUUUUUUUUUUCUUCGUACCCUGUUUUCAUUUCAAAUUUGUUCAGAACUUGGGCUCAUCUUGCGUGGUUUAUGCUUCUUUGAACAUUCAUAUAAGUUUAAUUCAGCAUUCCUUUCUCAACAAGUUUUAAUUUUUAAGCAUUAUAAAGAUUAUGAAGCAAUAUGUAAUUAUUGUCAGGAAAGGUCAAUCAUGACACUUCUAUAAAACUUCCCAUCACCUCGCAUUGGCCUACACCAUCUACAGAAUAUAUUACGUUUUUUUUUUUUUUUUUUAAAAGAAAAGUUAUUUAUUAGAGCAAGGCUAAUUUUUUUUUUCUUGUUUUGAACACUUUGAUAGGUUAAAGAUUGUAGAAGCUUUAUGCUUUAUAGACUGCCAUCCAUAGUGUAAUCAUCCAGGGUACAGACAUUACAGAACUCUUAAGAUAGUCAAAAACUCUUAUGGUCUACAUAGUUGAUGGCUUGGGGGCUAGUUGCUGCAUUUCAAAAAGGAGUCAGCUCCUUAGAUGGCGAUAGAAUCAUGGAGAUGUGAAGGGUGGUUCAGGGGGGAGUGGCACCAAUGGCUCACUAAAACCAGUAUCUGGUGCUGGCGGUGCAGACACAAAGGGCAAUGGUUCCUUUGGAAAAUCUGGAACUUCAGGAACCAGGGGAGGCGAAAGAAAUGUUCUAGGAGGCUGUGGAAUUGUGAAAGGUGGCGGUUUGGUUGGGAUUGAUACCAGUGGUGGAGGAAGAAAUAUAGGGAUGAACGGUGGUUGAUCUGGUGUGAAUUGAAUGGGAGGUGGCAGAUCAGGCACUGGUGGAGGCAGUAAAAAUUCUGGCAGAGGAGGUGAGAACGUUAUUAAAGGUGGAGUAGAUAGUAGUGGUGGUGGUGAAGAAACUAGAGGUGGUGGAAACCAGAUUGAAGGUGUUGGAGUAGAUGAUAAUGGUGGUGGUGAAGGCACCAAUGGUGGUGGAAUCAUUUCUGAAGGAGUUGGAGUAGAUAGCAGCGGCGGUGGCGGUGAAGGAACCAAGGGUGUUGGUGGAGAUGGAGUUUCAGGUGAAGCCAAGGGCGGUGGUGGUGAUGCAGGAAGGGGAGGUGGAGAAGGAACUAUGGGGGCAGGCUGAUAAACUGGAGGAGGAGAAGAAACUAAAGGGGGCAGAGGAGGUAUUGAGGGUGCCAAAAAUGGGUUGUCUGAAGGGUAGAUUGGGAAAGGCCACUGACCACAAGCUCCAAAUAAGUAUUGGUAAAAUGGAUCACAGUCAGAUCCUCUUCUUCCUCUGCUUCUGCUUCUGCUUCUAGUUCUCUUUUCUUCAUCUUUCCACCCUUUUCUUUCAUGUUGAUUUUGCUUGUUUUCAGUAUCUGCUUCUACAAGUACUUGGGAGAUCAACAGCAGAGCUAAAACUAUUGCUAUUACUAUUUUUCAAAGAGCGGAAGUGGUGGAAGGAUUUGAAUGCAGCAGCAGUGUGAAUUAAUAUACACAACGCUCAAUGCUGAGAGGAGUGGAAAGCAAGGAAAUGCUACCUUCAAAUUUGUGACUUCCAAUGCCAAUUUAUGUAAGUAGUCUAUAAAUACCUCUCUCUGAGUAGUUGAAAGUUGAUAGAAAGCUUCUCCUUCUCUCUCUCUUGAGUAGUUGAAAAACUUGCAAGAUAGAAAGAAAGAAGGCAAGUCUACUCUAUCAUUUAUGGUGAUUUGGACUUUGAUAUUUUGUAUAGCUGAACAAAAGGAAGGCAUGUCUGCAUUGUAUUUAA